UCUUGGAUGUCAAAGCAAACUGGAGGUGCCAUCCUUGACGAGCCUCCAAACUUUAAAUGGCUUUGUGAUAAAAAAGAUAUUUCAUCAGAAGUCUAUAUACAGUAUGUAAGACCAGAUACAACACUGUUGACUCUCCCUGAGGCAUCUCCAUCAAAUUCUGAAGGAGAAAUAAUUGAGGAGCAGAAGAGUGAAAGAGAUUUUGAAUCUUUAGAAAAUUACAGAAGUGAUGCCAUUGAUGCAAUAAAAAUUUAUAGCACCGGAAAAAUACAAGUACAAUCUGCUACGUCUCUAAAUCAAUGUGCAAUUUUUACUCCCCUUGCACAAGACUUCAAUGAGACAUUAGGAAAGAG